CUGCCUUGUAGUACAGAGGGAAUAUUAAAGUGGUAUCUGCCUGAAUAGGUUAAUUCAACUGUAUCUUAUUAUUUCCAUGACAAAAAUUGAUCAUUCAAUUCACUAAAUAAUUAAAUAAUUUCAAAACAUUCCCUGGCAGUACAAAAAAUAGCAAAAUUAAACUUUGUGUUAUUAUAAGUUCGGGCUCAAUUCCAAUCAACUCCUAAUUAGAGUUUCAAACCAUUUCUAAUUCGAACAAUUGGAUCUUGUGUGAUUGUCUGCAUUUUAGGGGCUGUUUACAUGAUCCCACUUUGCCGGGACAAGAUGUAUGUUUGCCGGGACAAGAUUCUGAUGUAUUGAAAUAAGUCACAAUGCACGAUUCAGCCAGACUAAAUUAUUUUUCAGGCAACAGAUUCUAGUAUAAUUUAAAACGAAAGGUUGUUCAAGCAGCAAUUAUAAUAUUCUUGAACUGAGAUGUUUUCAAAUAUAUUAAAUGUUCUCAAAUAAUUGCUUGACAACAAUUGAGCUCUUCUAACUGGCAUUUGAACUUUCGUUAAGCCUAGUAACUUGUUUCAAUACAUCAAAAUCAUCUUACCUUCCAUCUCGUCCCGGCAAGCCGGGAUGUAUUAAAACAGCCCCUUUAUAGUCAAAUGCACAAGAGUAGAUGAAAGUUGCCAAGCAAGAGUUUGGGUUUGUGUCACUUGGAAGCCAGAAAUCUAUUUAAGAUGUGAAGAAUCUCAUUAUUUGCACUGAUUAAAUAUAUGGUUAGGCC